rnacentral:rRNA from 1 species
UUAAGCAUAUCAAUAAGCGGAGGAAAAGAAACUAACAAGGAUUCCCUUAGUAACUGCGAGUGAAGUGGGAAGAGCUCAAAUUUAAAAUCUGGUGGCCUUCUGUUGGGCUGCUCGAGUUGUAAUCUAAAGAAGUGGCGCCCGCGCUGAAACUCAUGUACAAGUCUUCUGGAAUGGAGCAUCAUAGAGGGUGAGAAUCCCGUCUUCGACAUGAGCUGUUUUUCAGGGCUUUGUGGUGUCGCUCUCGAAGAGUCGAGUUGUUUGGGAAUGCAGCUCAAAAUGGGUGGUAAAUGCCAUCUAAAGCUAAAUAUUGGCGAGAGACCGAUAGCGAACAAGUACCGUGAGGGAAAGAUGAAAAGAACUUUGGAAAGAGAGUUAAACAGUACGUGAAAUUGCUGAAAGGGAAACGCUUGAAGUCAGUCACAUCGGCUUGGAAUCAACCUUUGCUUCUGCUGGGUGCACUUCCUUGAAUUUUUCCGAUGGGUCAGCAUCAAUUUCGAUCGUUGGAGAAAGGUCAGAGGGAACGUGGCAUCACUUUUGUGGAUGUGUUAUAGCCCAUUGACCAUAUGCGGCGGUCGAGAUUGAGGAACUCAGCACGCCCCCACAAAGGGCUUUUUUUCUAAAAAUUCGUGCUUAGGAUGGCUGGCAUAAUGGCUUUAAGCGACCCGUCUUGAAACACGGACCAAGGAGUCUAACAUGCCUGCGAGUGUUUGGGUGG